rnacentral:misc_RNA from 1 species
GAUGAAGAACGUAGCGAAAUGCGAUACGUAAUGUGAAUUGCAGAAUUCAGUGAAUCAUCGAAUCUUUGAACGCAUAUUGCGCUCUCUGGUAUUCCGGAGAGCAUGCUUGUUUGAGUAUCAGUAAACACCUCAACUCUUUUUUCUUUUUUGAAAUUGGAGCUGGACUUGAGUGAUCCCAACGCUUUCUUCCAAGAAAGUGGUGGGUUGCUUGAAAUGCAGGUGCAGCUGAACUUUUCUCUGAGCUAUAAGCAUAUCUAUUUAGUCUGCCUAAAAAACAGAUUAUUACCUUUGCUGCAGCUAACAUAAAGGAGACUAGUUCUUGUGCUGACUGAUGCAGGAUUCACAGAGACAGCUUCGGCUGACUUUGUAAACUCGAUCUCAAAUCAAGUAAGACUACCCGCUGAACUUAAGCAUAUCAAUAAGCGGAGGA